UAACCUUAAUUCAAAUGAAAAUUUAUCAAUCAAGUAACUUGAGCAAGAAGAAAUUAUACCCCUUUCACUUGAUCUGAAAAUUAAAACCACAAAUCAAACCCUAGGAACUUUAACAUAAAUUGUUUUCUACCUCUUGAAGAAAAUAAAAAGAAAGGAGAAUGAAAAUCAAGCUCGGACUACCUCUUUUCCCUUUCACUUCUCUUCUUCUUUCUUUUCUCUUUUAUUAUCCUUUCUUUCUCGGUUUCUA
rnacentral:lncRNA from 1 species